AGGACGAACGCUGGCGGCGUGCUUAAGACAUGCAAGUCGAACGGUAACAGGCCCUUCGGGGUGCUGACGAGUGGCGGACGGGUGAGUAAUGCGUAGGAAUCUACCCACGAGUGGGGGGAUAGCCCGGAGAAAUCCGGAUUAAUACCGCAUAUGCCCUACGGGGUAAAGCGGGGGAUCGUAAGACCUCGCGCUGGUGGAUGAGCCGAUGUCCGAUUAGCUAGUUGGUGGGGUAAAGGCCUACCAAGGCUACGAUCGGUAGCCGGUCUGAGAGGACGACCAGCCACACUGGGACUGAGACACGGCCCAGACUCCUACGGGAGGCAGC
rnacentral:rRNA from 1 species